AAACUUCAGAGGCGGUGCAUGUUGGAAACAUCUGAAGAGAAGUAUGACAAAGAGAGGACUUUUAAGAUAAGUGAGACACCUGAGAGCAAGUGUUGUGGGGGCUGUUGUACAGCAAGAGGAUUCAGUCAAAAUUUCUGUAGCCUAAAAUGUCAAAAAUUUUAAUGUGCAGUAAUUCCGGGGAAAUACCUUAAAAUAAAGAAGAAGAGUGCAGAUAACAGCUGGGCUCUAAUGAUGAAAAUGGCAGCCUUGUAAAAGAGCCAGUUCUCUAUAAUUAGAAGGGUGGAAGUAAAAGAAGUUGCAGGACUGGUGUGACAUUGAAGGGACUCUGUCUAUGGCUGGGGGCUUGCACUGCAUCAUCUCUGAAAUCUUUCCAACUCUAAGGCUCUGAUUCUAUAUGUGCCAGUCUCCAGUUCACCUGAGACUCUCAAUUCACUGGAUAGCAUCUGUCUAUUGACUACUUCUGCUGGAAUUCCCACCAAUUUUUUAGUAGGAAAAACUAUUUGGAUUUUUUUUUUAAUUCUUUGCUUCUACCCAUAGAUCUCCAGCACAGAAAGCGCCAGGAGCAAAUCAAAGAAGCUUCUAUUAUGGUUUGCUUCUAAGAAAUUCUACUUGGUCCCACCUCCUUGACUCAGAUGAAUUUCAAAUGCCCAUAUCCGGUUCUAAAGCAAAGUUGCAUUGGAAUUUUUACUGAAAUUUUAUUCUAAUGAUCCACUAGUAUGGGGAAAAUUGACAUCUUUAUAGUAUUGAAUGUUCCAUGCAGAAACAAGACGGAGUCUCUCUUUGCCGCCCAGGCUGGAGUGCAGUGGCGCAAUCGCGGCUCACUGUAGCCUCCGCCUCCUGGAUUCAAUCGAUUCUCCUGCCUCAGCCUCCCAGUGAUUUUUUUCUUAUUGUCCCAGUUCAUUUGCCAAAAGUCCAAGCUUUCCCAUUUGUUAGAAAUGCUUCUUUACUAAAAUAAAUUAAAUUGAAUUUACUUAAAUU
rnacentral:lncRNA from 1 species